CCUACGGGUGGCAGCAGUGGGGAAUAUUGCGCAAUGGGCGAAAGCCUGACGCAGCGACGCCGCGUGAGGGAUGAAGGUCUUCGGAUCGUAAACCUCUGUCAGCAGGGAAGAACGGUCACUGUGCUAAUCAGCAGUGAAUUGACGGUACCUGAAGAAGAAGCCCCGGCUAACUACGUGCCAGCAGCCGCGGUAAUACGUAGGGGGCAAGCGUUAUCCGGAUUUACUGGGUGUAAAGGGGGCGCAGACGGCGAUGCAAGCCAGGAGUGAAAGCCCGGGGCCCAACCCCGGGACUGCUCUUGGAACUGCGUGGCUGGAGUGCAGGAGGGGCAGGCGGAAUUCCUGGUGUAGCGGUGAAAUGCGUAGAUAUCAGGAGGAACACCGGUGGCGAAGGCGGCCUGCUGGACUGCAACUGACGUUGAGGCCCGAAAGCGUGGGGAGCAAACAGGAUUAGAUACCCUAGUAGUC
rnacentral:rRNA from 1 species